rnacentral:ncRNA from 1 species
CGUAUGGUAUUCGGCAAUGACCGGAUGGCGAUACGGCCUAAUGAGGU